GUGCUUGCUCUGGCAGCACAUAUACUACAGUUGGAAUGAUUACAGAGAUUAGCACGGCCCCUUUGAAAGGACAACACGCAAAUUCGUGACGCAUUCCAUAUUAAA
ensembl:snRNA U6 U6 spliceosomal RNA